rnacentral:rRNA from 1 species
GCAUAUCAAUAAGCGGAGGAAAAGAAACCAACAGGGAUUGCCUCAGUAACGGCGAGUGAAGCGGCAACAGCUCAAAUUUGAAAUCUGGCUUCGGCCCGAGUUGUAAUUUGCAGAGGAAGCUUUAGGCGCGGCACCAUCUGAGUCCCCUGGAACGGGGCGCCACAGAGGGUGAGAGCCCCGUAUAGAUGGACGCCUAACCUGUGUAAAGCUCCUUCGACGAGUCGAGUAGUUUGGGAAUGCUGCUCAAAAUGGGAGGUAAAUUUCUUCUAAAGCUAAAUACCGGCCAGAGACCGAUAGCGCACAAGUAGAGUGAUCGAAAGAUGAAAAGCACUUUGAAAAGAGGGUUAAAUAGCACGUGAAAUUGUUGAAAGGGAAGCGCUUGUGACCAGACUUGCGCCGGGCGGAUCAUCCGGUGUUCUCACCGGUGCACUCCGCCCGGCUCAGGCCAGCAUCGGUUCUCGUGGGGGGAUAAAGGCACCGGGAACGUAGCUCCUCCGGGAGUGUUAUAGCCCGGGGCGUAAUGCCCUCGCGGGGACCGAGGACCGCGCAUCUGCAAGGAUG